AGUUCAGACGUUCAGGACACCUCUCUUUCAAGGAGGUAGCGGGGAUUCGACUUCCCC
rfam:Gossypium hirsutum cultivar TM-1 chromosome 19, whole genome shotgun sequence